UCCAGUAUUAGUUCGUAUUCUCCUAAAGAAAGUGCCAGCGGGAAUAGUGCAAUCGAUUCGCCCAGACAGUGCAAUCAAUUCAAACGCAUCAAUAAAAACAACAAAAACGAUGUGCGAUCAAUCAAAUCGAAAUGGCAACAAGAAUAACAACAAAUCCUCAAACGCUGAUAUACAAAUGAAAAUUAUAGCAACCGAAGACUGCGACAAAGUUAUAAAAUUCCUUUGGGAAAACUUUUUCCCCUAUGCCCCUUUGGCUGGCAGUGAACCAAAAUGGAUACCCUCGCGAGAAGAUGAAAUGGUGCUGCGGGAAGGCAUCACAAAACAUAAUUGCAGCAUCGUGGCAAUGAAGGAAGACCAAAUAAUCGGUGUGUCCAUUGCUCUACCCAAAAAUCGCUCCGCGGCAGAUGAGUACUUUGAGGCAGCUAAAAAGGCGGGCAAAAACAAGCAUGGUUACAUAAUGCAGCUAUUAGGAGAGAUAAUGUGUAAAACGGACAUAUUCAAUCGUUAUGGGGUUGAGGAGACACUAUAUGUGUAUUUGGUAUCGGUGGCGCCCAAUCAGCGAGGCAGGAAUAUUGCAUACCUGAUGAUGAGGGAGCUAAUGAGGGUGGGGAAAGAGAAGAAAUUCGAAGUCUUGUCGAUAGAUUGCAGCAGCUAUUAUUGUGCUCAGGUGUGUGAACGUUUGGGCAUGGAAUGCCUGAGUACAGUGCCGUUUUCCGAUUACUUGGAUGAGAAGGGUGAAGUGAUAUUUAGGCCAUCGCCACCACAUGUUGCCAUGGAAACCUAUGCACAGCGAUUGCAGUGAGAUAUUUGGAGUGGGAGAGAAACGAGGGAGAGAGGGGGGGGGGGGGGGAGAUAGAGGGGAGAUCCACACAAUAACACAUCCACAAAGAUUAACUAUUUUCGAUAACCCAUUCUCCACUACCUUCCUUCCCCAUGAAUUGUUGACUCGGCAUCAAAGCGGAUCAUGUAAAUCUUUUAAGAUUUGUUUUCCUGUUAAAAAAAGGUUACCAUAUUUGGACCAAGUGACAAAAAAAAAAAAUAUGAAAACCAUAAAAUCUUCAUUAAAUUGUGAAUACCAGUUGAAAGAACCCACGCAAUCGCGAGCAGUAUUAAGAGGCAUAGAGCAAGCAGCACGUCAGCAGCCAUGCAGGCAGUAAUUAAGGCCAAGACAAACGCCACCAUAAAAUAACAAAAAAAAAAAAAAAACGAUUUAAUAACAAACGGAUUGUUGAUGCCGAUUUUUGGUGUAAAUAUUGAAGAGA